rnacentral:rRNA from 1 species
GACGGAGGGAGCAAGCGUUGUCCGGAUUUACUGGGCGUAAAGCGCGCGUAGGCGGCCUAUUAAGUCGGCCGUGAAAUUGCGGGGCUCAACUCCGCACCUGCAGUCGAUACUGAUAGGCUCGAGUCCGGGAGAGGGAAGCGGAAUUCCUGGUGUAGCGGUGGAAUGCGUAGAUAUCAGGAAGAACACCGGUGGCGAAGGCGGCUUCCUGGACCGGUACUGACGCUGAGGCGCGAAAGCUAGGGGAGCGAAC